rnacentral:rRNA from 1 species
GNUCCUGGCUCAGGAUGAACGCUAGCGACAGGCCUAACACAUGCAAGUCGAGGGGCAGCGGAGAGGUAGCAAUACCUUUGCCGGCGACCGGCGCACGGGUGAGUAACACGUAUGCAAUCCACCUGUAACAGGGGGAUAACCCGGAGAAAUCCGGACUAAUACCCCAUAAUAUGGGCGCUCCGCAUGGAGAGCCCAUUAAAGAGAGCAAUUUUGGUUACAGACGAGCAUGCGCUCCAUUAG